AAAUUUUGUUUACUUGCACUGCGGCCGUAUUCACCAAACCGGUAGUUUUGGUUUCUUGAGUAGAAGAGCUGAGUUCUUAAAGUGGUUCGAGUGGAAAUAGCAUAUUUUAUUUUCUCCCUUGCGGUUUCAGUGUGGUAAACUUCGCUUACAAUUAUGUACCUUACCGACAGCAGCAUUUAUGAUCGCUUCAACCCACAAGAAUACAAUGAUUUCAACUUUUGGCGUGAACCAAUAAUGGAUAUUUCCUUGGAUGACUUGGAUACUGAAUUGAUGGAGAAAAAAGAUGAAGCAACUAUAUCAAGCCAGUUCGAUUCUUUUCUGUACUGGAGGGAUCCGAUUCCCGAUUUGGAUGAUCUAUAAAUUUUUUUUGUCUUGCAUUAUAAUGCUGUAAAUCUUGUGCAUCUUUAAGAAAGGAAAUGCUCAGUGUUGUUUAAUGCUAUUAUUUUGUAGAAAGUUGCUUAUAGUUGGCUUAUAAAAAUUUUAUUGCUGUACAAAUUAGCAUAUAUAUGUUUGCUCGUUGGAUAUAAGAUAUUUUACAUGCAAAUUUACUGGACAAACAUCGAUUUUACUGGCUUUGAUAUGCUGGUGAAAAUCAUAAUUCUAUUAUAUUGUAUUAUAUAUAUGGUUUUUCCUCUUGGAUGAAUUAUACAUUCCAGUAACUAAAGUAUUGUUUUUUUGAAAAUUUACAAUUCUGGAAGCAGUUUAAUUUUUAAAUGUUAUGUUACUUGAACAAAUUUUCAAUUGUGAUACCUAAUGUGAUAAUUCUAAGGGAAUUAUCAGGCAUCUGAAAAUUAAAUAAUCUGAAGGAAUAUUUGCAAAUAUUUCAGAUGUCUGUACAUGGUGAAACAAGAAUACCAUAUAUUCAUCUGGGAUAUGAUUUUGUUCCAAGUACACUAUGUAUAAAUUGCCUAUUUUGUAGCUUUGUGAAAUAAACUUUUCUUAAAAGUAAAAAAA